CUCGGAGCUUUGCUGAAACUGCACAAAAAAUCGAGCUGGGGGGUUCCCUGGUCCCCGAUGUUGGGGCGGAGAGCGCGGCGCCGAGGGAGGGGGCGGCGCAGACCGGCCUAGGGGACACCUGGUCGAGCGCAGCCGCCGCUCCGCUCGAGCCCUGCGCUCCAGUGCCCCCACUGGCUGGAGAGCUCGCCCAGACCGGGGGUCUUCCUCCGUCGCUGACAGAUUUUAACCAUUAGAAGAAUACCAGUUCUGGAAAACAACCAAAGUUUCUUUGAUUGAAUGCCCAUGUAAUGCAUUGGAAUAUGAUAGGCGAUUAAGGUUUAACAAUGUUAAAAUGAAGAUAUUACUAAAAUGGCCCUCUAAAUAGCCCAACAAUUAUUAUUUUCUUUGUCCUAUGGAUUUGGCUUUGAAAGAUGUGCUGCUCUUAAUAAGCUUUUCAUUCUGCCGGCCAUACUUUUUCUCCCUACUCUGGACGCCUCUAGAUGACUCCAGCUGUGCUCUCCUUCGUAAUCUACACACCCUCCUCAACCAUACCCUGGACCAGUCAUGUCCUCAUCUCAGACACGACUUUUCUGGUCUUCACACUGUGUUAGAAAUAAGGAAGGUGAUAAAGAAUGCCUGUAAGGUUUGCACCACAGUGUUUCAAUAGCAAGGCUGAUGACUUGAGUAUGAAAGCUGUGAAUCAGGAUGCCAGGCAGACAGAAUGGAUAACAUUCUAAUUAAAUGAUCAGCAUUAAUUCUCUCUCUCGGGCAGAAACCUACGUGUUCCUCUUCCAGAGAGCUGGUGAAGCCAAAGGCAUUCUCAUAAUGAUGCGCUACACCGACUGACAUUUACCAACUGUGUCAAAGCUACAGGAGCCAGGUAGACACUGCUGGAACUUUAACGGGAAUCAAACAAGUCUAUAAGAAGCACUGAGCUGUGCCACUACCCAAUCAGUGUUCUUCCAGAGCACACAAACGAAAGUGGGAGGAGCCUUCCAAUGAGAACUGUUGUGUGAUUAAUCAAUGAGGCUGACUAAAGCACACACUUAUAAUCCCAAUACUCAGAAAGACAGAGGAAGAAGGAUAUCAGCGCAAGGCCAACAAGGCUUCAAAGCAAGUACCAACCCAGUAUGGACCAUGAGACCCUAUUUCAGAAACAAAUAAUAAAAGCUUGAUGAAGCUGCAAAAAUUA
rnacentral:lncRNA from 1 species